AUGAUAGUCUGGUUAAUAAAGAAGGAUGAGAGUUAGGGGUUUUUGUUGAGAUGAUAUAACAGAGAGAAGUAAUUUAGGGUUUUUAGAUUAAGACUCGAAUUGGUAAGAAGUUGUUAAGUAAUUGAGCUGAUAAUGGUUAAAUAACGAGGGGGUUGAUGUUCGAUUGAAGUGGUGAGGUUUUUUUGAAGUGCAAUUGAAGAGUUAGGGUUUCAUAAGAUGAAUCAAAGAAGGAUCAGAAGAAGAAAUUGAGGCUUUAGAAGAUAAUUGGAGACGGGUUUUGCUGAAUUAAAGAACUAGGAUGUUUUCUUGUGUUCGAAUCAGGGAAGCUUUGAUUUGGGAAUUAUUUUAAGGUUCUUCUGAGAAUAAAUGACGGGGAUGAAGAUUGUGAGUUGACGUCUAGGGAUGAUUCUGUUAAUAAGAAGAUGUUGUAGCUAUUAUUGGUAUUGAUUCAAAACUCGGGAGAAAAGGUUUGGUCUCAUAUUGAAAUGAUGAGAUGAGUUAGAUGUGGUGGUGAUGAACUGAGUUAAGUGAAGAAGGAAUCAAAUUCAAUUGCCAGAGUAAUAUAUAUUUGAGAAGUUUUGUGGUAGUUGUGGUGAUGCUGCAAAGUUGGAGGUGUUGGGUUGAAUUGCAGUUGUGGGUGUUGGAUUUGAUUUGGUAGCGAAUUGAUUAUGGACUGCAUGUGGAAUGGAUGGUGUUGCUGUAUGUGUUUGUGUUAAUGGAAGGUGUUAUGAAUUGGUUUAGAUGAAUGGGUUAGGAAGAAAUAUGAACUUGUUGAAAGGUGGUGGUGAUUGAUCUUAAUUGAGAUGUUAUUGAAGUUCAGGGGUUAUUGGUGGAUGUAGCUUGGAAUUAAACCGAAGUUGGUUGUGAUAAACUGAAAGGUGGUCUUGAUUUUGAUUAUAUCACUAAGAUGGUGAUGAAUGAAGAUUGUGGAGUUUAUUUGGUUUCUUGAGAUGAUGAUUGAACUAUGAGUUGUUGGAAUAUUUUGGUUAUUGCAGUAAUGAGAGUUAUACCCAUGAUCUGAGUUCAUAUGAAUUACAAUUACGGGGAUUAGUGAUGAAUGAGUUUUAAUGAAAUUGAGAUUAUGAGAUGAGUCGCAAAUGAAGUUGAAUUGCAGGCUGGGAAGAUGUGAUGGGACUGUGUCUGUAGUUAGAGGUGGUUUUGAUAGUAAUGGGUUUGAGUAACUAUGGUUAAUGGUUUGAGUUUGAUCUUAACUGAAAUUGCAAGAGGUAUAUGAAUUAAUGAAGGUGUUGCCUGAGUUGAAGUUAGUGAAUGCAGAUGUUGUUAUGGUUGCAGUUAGUGAUAGUUUUAAUAGAAGCUUGCUGUUGAAAGUACUGAGUUUGGUGGAGUUGGUGGUAUUGUAGACUAUAAGAAAUAAGUUCUAAAGAAUAUGUUUUGUUGUCAAUUGUUGGUGGUUGAAGUUGAUUGGCAGGAAGUAGAUGUAUGAGUUAGGUAUGAGUUGUGAAGGUGGAAUGGAAAUAGAACUGGAAAGGGUGAUAAUGGGAGUGUAGGACUGUAGUUAGUGCUAGCAGUGAAAGCUUGCAACUUCUGCUGUUGCAGGUAGACUUUGUUACUUUUGUAAUUCAAUUUUAAGUUAUAAUUUGAAUGAAUGAAUUGAUGCAAUGAUUAGAUUGAA